rnacentral:rRNA from 1 species
GACGAACGCUGGCGGCGUGCUUAACACAUGCAAGUCGAACGGAAAGGCCCUGCUUUUGUGGGGUGCUCGAGUGGCGAACGGGUGAGUAACACGUGAGUAACCUGCCCUUGACUUUGGGGUAACUUCAGGAAACUGGGGCUAAUACCGGAUAGGAGCUCCUGCUGCAUGGUGGGGGUUGGAAAGUUUCGGCGGUUGGGGAUGGACUCGCGGCUUAUCAGCUUGUUGGUGGGGUAGUGGCUUACCAAGGCUUUGACGGGUAGCCGGCCUGAGAGGGUGACCGGCCACAUGGGGACUGAGAUACGGACCAGACUCCUACGGGAGGCAGCGGUGGAGAAUAUUGCACAAUGGGCGGAAGCCUGAUGCAGCAACGCCGCGUGCGGGAUGACGGCCUUCGGGUUGUAAACCGCUUUCGCCUGUGACGAAGCGUGAGUGACGGUAAUGGGUAAAGAAGCACCGGCUAACUACGUG